GACGAACGCUGGCGGCGUGCUUAACACAUGCAAGUCGAACGGAAAGGCCCUUCGGGGUCCUCGAGUGGCGAACGGGUGAGUAACACGUGGGUGAUCUGCCCUGCACUUUGGGAUAAGCCUGGGAAACUGGGUCUAAUACCGAAUAGGACCACGCGCUUCAUGGUGUGUGGUGGAAAGCUUUUGCGGUGUGGGAUGGGCCCGCGGCCUAUCAGCUUGUUGGUGGGGUAAUGGCCUACCAAGGCGACGACGGGUAGCCGGCCUGAGAGGGUGACCGGCCACACUGGGACUGAGAUACGGCCCAGAGUACUACGGGAGGCAGCAGUGGGGAAUAUUGCACAAUGGGCGCAAGACUGAUGCAGCGACGCCGAGUGAGGGAUGACGGACGUCGGGUUGUAAACAUCUUUAAAUAGGGACGAAGCGCAAGUGACGGUACCUAUAGAAGAAGCACCGGCAAACUACGUG
rnacentral:rRNA from 1 species